GUAGGGUCCAAGCGUUAAUCGGAAUUACUGGGCGUAAAGCGUGCGCAGGCGGUUGUGCAAGACCGAUGUGAAAUCCCCGAGCUUAACUUGGGAAUUGCAUUGGUGACUGCACGGCUAGAGUGUGUCAGAGGGGGGUAGAAUUCCACGUGUAGCAGUGAAAUGCGUAGAGAUGUGGAGGAAUACCGAUGGCGAAGGCAGCCCCCUGGGAUAACACUGACGCUCAUGCACGAAAGCGUGGGGAGCAAACAGGAUUAGAUACCCUGGUAGUCCACGCCCUAAACGAUGUCAACUAGUUGUUGGGGAUUCAUUUCCUUAGUAACGUACKAACGCGUGAAGUUGACCGCC
rnacentral:rRNA from 1 species